GAUACUGUGCGGAUUCAUGGUGCAAAGGCAGCGCGUGGCGUUUGUAUGCUAGGCAGGGCGAAGGAACAGGAUGGCUUGCACAAAAGAUGCACAGGUAUUGAGCGUAUCCGGAUGUAUCAAGUGAGGUCCCCUAAGGAUCUGUCCUGAAACCAGGUCGAUUCAGAAUCCUCACUAAUGACUCAGCUCAUAGAAAGGACAGUGCAGAAGGUGCCGAUGCUGGGGAAGGUUGCAAAUGCUUUGAAAGACUCUUUCAGAAUUCAGAACGGU